rnacentral:rRNA from 1 species
AUGGCGCCAGACGAAUUGGAGAGGCGGCGACGGAGGAUGUGGCUAGUGCGGGCAAAAAGGAUUGACGACGUGGUAUUAUGCUGGAUGAAGUGCAUGCGGGAGUUGAUGGAGAAGGAGGCUAUCGCACGAGAUAACCCUGGCUUUCAGGUGGACGUAUCGAUGCACAAAAGGUGUGUGGAUAGAGGAUUGAGGACUGUAGCAGACAUCAUCUUCUCAGAGACCUCAAAUGAAGAGCGCUCUCGGAUGCCGACUCAGAGUAGACUGGAAUUGGUCCUCGAAUGGGCAUUGGAAGAGGUGAAAUCUCCAAUCAUGAUUCAGAGAGCCCGAUGGGGAUGUGUCGUGGGGAUAAUGCCACCGAGAGUUCCCCCACCACCACGGGACUCUACUCCACCUUCAGCAGUCACCUUUCCAUCCACUUGA